rnacentral:rRNA from 1 species
UACGUAGGGGGCAAGCGUUGUCCGGAAUCAUUGGGCGUAAAGCGCGUGUAGGCGGCCCGAUAAGUCCGCUGUGAAAGUCCAGGGCUCAACCCUGGGAUGCCGGUGGAUACUGUCGGGCUCGAGUCCGGAAGAGGCGAGUGGAAUUCCUGGUGUAGCGGUGAAAUGCGCGGAUAUCAGGGGGAACACCAAUGGCGAAGGCAGCUCGCUGGGACGUGACUGACGCUGAGACGCGAAAGCGUGGGGAGCAAACAGG